AACGAACGCUGGCGGCAUGCCUAACACAUGCAAGUCGAACGAGACCUUCGGGUCUAGUGGCGCACGGGUGCGUAACGCGUGGGAACCUGCCCUUAGGUUCGGAAUAACUCCCCGAAAGGGGUGCUAAUACCGGAUAAUGUCUUCGGACCAAAGAUUUAUCGCCUUUGGAUGGGCCCGCGUUGGAUUAGCUAGUUGGUAGGGUAAAAGCCUACCAAGGCGACGAUCCAUAGCUGGUCUGAGAGGAUGAUCAGCCACACUGGGACUGAGACACGGCCCAGACUCCUACGGGAAGCAGCAGUGGGGAAUAUUGGACAAUGGGCGAACGCCUGAUCCAGCAAUGCCGCGUGAGUGAUGAAGGCCUUAGGGUUGUAAAGCUCUUUUACCCGGGAUGAUAAUGACAGUACCGGGAGAAUAAGCUCCGGCUAACUCCGUG
rnacentral:rRNA from 1 species